ACGAAAGUUCCAAACUUAAAGAACGUGGCGGUGUUCUACAACCUUYUUAGGGGAUCCUGUGGCUUAAUUCGAUAAUCCACGACCAAUAAAGCUUUACUAGUUCACAGCUUAUGUAUGGCCGUAUUAUGUCUGCAUAUUAAUAUAACAAUAGGAGACAAUUAAAGAAAUUUCCUUGAUAAUUCAGGUGACAUAUAGCCAAUGUAAAGCAGCUCAUGGGAUACAAAUAAAUAUACUACCAGUAACUAAUUUGAAAUUUUUACAAAAGGAGGACUUAAAAGUAAGUUUAAAACAMCACUUUAAACUGAAUAAGAUCUAGAACGCGUACAAAUCGCCCGUCACUCCCGGCACUAAUUGGGAUAAGUCGUAACAAGGUAGGGGUAA
rnacentral:rRNA from 1 species